GGGAACGCAUUACAGCCGGUGGGGCUGGGAUUUUAAGUUAGCUUGACUGCCUAGCAGGCAGGGAACGCAUUACAGCCGGUGGGGCUGGGAUUUUAAGUUAGCUUGACUGCCUAGCGGGCAGGGAACGCAUUACAGCCGGUGGGGCUGGGAUUUUGUUUGUUUAUUACUGUGCUCCCAUUAGUACCUGUGUUAUACUGGGACCAGCCUGGUGGGUGAAGGCUGAGGAUUGCUAUACUUCGAUUAUUUGGCACCGGUGUCAUUAACAUGUACAUGGCCAUUUUACUCUCUGUCAUUCUGUGGUUUUUUGUUUAAUUGUUGUUACAGUGUGGGUACCCUUGGUGUGUGUGUGUGUGUGUAUAGUGUGGCUAGUUC